UCUACAGCAGGGAUCCCCAACCCCUGGGCUGCAGACCAGCACCAGUCUGUGGCCUCUUAGGAACUGGGCUGCACAGCAGGAGGUGAGUGUCAUUCAAAAUCAGGUUAUAAACAGCC